CACAAGGGGGGCUCGUCUUUAAAUUAAACUCGUCUCCGGCCCCUCCGAUCUGCAGCUCGAUCAGGGGCAGACACUGUUGAGGGAAGCCAGAGAGAAGGGGCAGGCCUGCUGGCGGUCAGUGAUGCAUGAUGGAAGGAACCGGGAGGCGCGCCCUGGAAGCAGCACUCUCUCCAAAGCACUCACUAAUGACCGAGGACAGCCCCGAGUCUUCUAAUCACCUUUAAUGUGCACUUUAGAAGCUGACUUUAAAGCAGGCGAGAUAAGCAGAAGCUUAGUCCCAGACCUCAAGGUACCCCCGAAUGGCUGGGAGGAAGUUUGACA
rnacentral:lncRNA from 1 species